AUACGGAGGGUGCAAGCGUUACUCGGAAUCACUGGGCGUAAAGCGCGCGCAGGCGGGCUGAUAAGUUGGAUGUGAAAGCCUACGGCUCAACCGUAGAACUGCAUCCAAAACUGUCAGUCUAGAGUCUGGGAGGGGAAGAUGGAAUUAGUUGUGUAGGGGUAAAAUCCAUAGAGAUAACUAGGAAUACCAAAAGCGAAGGCGAUCUUCUGGAACAGUACUGACGCUGAGGCGCGAAAGCGUGGGGAGCAAACAGGAUUAGAAACCCUAGUAGUCCC
rnacentral:rRNA from 1 species